AAAUUGAAGAGUUUGAUCAUGGCUCAGAUUGAACGCUGGCGGCAGGCCUAACACAUGCAAGUCGAGCGGUAGCACAGAGAGCUUGCUCUCGGGUGACGAGCGGCGGACGGGUGAGUAAUGUCUGGGAAACUGCCUGAUGGAGGGGGAUAACUACUGGAAACGGUAGCUAAUACCGCAUAACGUCGCAAGACCAAAGUGGGGGACCUUCGGGCCUCAUGCCAUCAGAUGUGCCCAGAUGGGAUUAGCUAGUAGGUGGGGUAACGGCUCACCUAGGCGACGAUCCCUAGCUGGUCUGAGAGGAUGACCAGCCACACUGGAACUGAGACACGGUCCAGACUCCUACGGGAGGCAGCAGUGGGGAAUAUUGCACAAUGGGCGCAAGCCUGAUGCAGCCAUGCCGCGUGUGUGAAGAAGGCCUUCGGGUUGUAAAGCACUUUCAGCGGGGAGGAAGGCGAUAAGGUUAAUAACCUUGUCGAUUGACGUUACCCGCAGAAGAAGCACCGGCUAACUCCGUGCCAGCAGCCGCGGUAAUACGGAGGGUGCAAGCGUUAAUCGGAAUUACUGGGCGUAAAGCGCACGCAGGCGGUCUGUCAAGUCGGAUGUGAAAUCCCCGGGCUCAACCUGGAACUGCAUUCGAAACUGGCAGGCUAGAGUCUUGUAGAGGGGGGUAGAAUUCCAGGUGUAGCGGUGAAAUGCGUAGAGAUCUGGAGGAAUACCGGUGGCGAAGGCGGCCCCUGGACAAAGACUGACGCUCAGGUGCGAAAGCGUGGGGAGCAAACAGGAUUAGAUACCCUGGUAGUCCACGCUGUAAACGAUGUCGAUUUGGAGGUUGUGCCCUUGAGGCGUGGCUUCCGGAGCUAACGCGUUAAAUCGACCGCCUGGGGAGUACGGCCGCAAGGUUAAAACUCAAAUGAAUUGACGGGGGCCCGCACAAGCGGUGGAGCAUGUGGUUUAAUUCGAUGCAACGCGAAGAACCUUACCUGGUCUUGACAUCCACAGAACUUUCCAGAGAUGGAUUGGUGCCUUCGGGAACUGUGAGACAGGUGCUGCAUGGCUGUCGUCAGCUCGUGUUGUGAAAUGUUGGGUUAAGUCCCGCAACGAGCGCAACCCUUAUCCUUUGUUGCCAGCGGUCCGGCCGGGAACUCAAAGGAGACUGCCAGUGAUAAACUGGAGGAAGGUGGGGAUGACGUCAAGUCAUCAUGGCCCUUACGACCAGGGCUACACACGUGCUACAAUGGCAUAUACAAAGAGAAGCGACCUCGCGAGAGCAAGCGGACCUCAUAAAGUAUGUCGUAGUCCGGAUUGAGUCUGCAACUCGACUCCAUGAAGUCGGAAUCGCUAGUAAUCGUAGAUCAGAAUGCUACGGUGAAUACGUUCCCGGGCCUUGUACACACCGCCCGUCACACCAUGGGAGUGGGUUGCAAAAGAAGUAGGUAGCUUAACCUUCGGGAGGGCGCUUACCACUUUGUGAUUCAUGACUGGGGUGAAGUCGUAACAAGGUAACCGUAGGGGAACCUGCGGUUGGAUCACCUCCUUA
rnacentral:rRNA from 1 species